GUUGCAGUCACUUUUACAGGUUGAGUGCUUCCUGUCAUCCAGGUUGGAGAUUCCACUUAACUGUACCCUCAGCAAAACUAAAUCCUCAUGAGGAAUUUGGUGCAGAGAGUGGUUCUGUGGGGGGACCCUGAUGUAUUACGUCACAAAAAACAGCCACUCCACAAUAGGGAAUGUGUAAUUAAUAGGUUUUUUGAAGGCAUCCGUCCAACCAAAUGCAUCAUUAAAGGGGAAGAUGGAUAUUGCACACAACACAAGGGCGUUUUGACUUGCAUCAGCCACUGUAUGUCUGUUAAACAUGCAAACAGCAAAGGACCCCAGACCUGAAAGACCUUCUGAAGAGUGGAUAUUGACCAGCUUCAAUAAUCACCACCACACUUUACAUACUGGACCCCCUGAUCUCCUUUCAAGAACUCAAGGUCAUCUCUUCAAGAUUCUCCAGACAAGCCUUCUCAAAGCUGCUGGAAAAUUGCACGAAGUGUGGAAGAAGAUCUGGAUAUAUCAACGGCGAUGCACUGCAACGCAGCUUCUUGGAGUUUUCAUACGCUUCAUUUGAAGCAGACCAGCUCUGGUGUGGUGCUCCUUUCACCUGCCCAGCCUGAACGCUAGAAUUGUUGGCUGCUUCAGCAGAUGGAAACUGAAAGCUAAAUUCGCUUUUGCUCAAACAGAAGCUCUGGUGAUCCUGUUUUUUGUGGCUGAAGACAGUGCGGUGUCUAGAUUUGUCAACACCAUACAAAAAGCACUGAAAAU